rnacentral:lncRNA from 1 species
CUGAUCUAUACUGUGCCCCAGUCGCACGGGCUGGACCCUCACCUCGCCCGCUGUUCAGCCAGAGGGCCUGGGAGCCAGGGCAAGGGGCUUCUCAUCUGGAGUCUCCGUUUCUCCACUAGGGAAAGGGGACAGACUUCAGGGGUCUCAGAGGCAGGAGAGACCAUUCCAGCCCCUCUGACUGUCCCCAGAGUCCCACAAACAGGACAGCAGUCAGGAGACAAAGCCAUAAGCUCCACACUGGAGGAGGCCCUCCUGAGCAUCUGAGAGUGGAAUCCCCCCUACAGCCCCAUGUCCCCAGAGAUGUCUGAGCCCUCCCUGAGCAGCCCCCUUCCCACCCUCUAGUCAGAAGACCCAACUCAAGCCAGACGCAGUGGUGCACACCCAGCCAGGGGGUGGGCCUCGGGGAAAUGCUGAGGCAGGAGGAUCACAAGUUUAAGACCAGCCCGGGCAACUUAGGGAGACCCUUAUUCAAAAUAAAGAGUAAAAAGGACUGGGGACAUGCUAGUUCAGUGGUAGAGCGCCCAUCCACACCCCUUAAAUCUCCAGGACUAUAAAAAAAAAAUCACUGGGCAAAGUGGCGCAUGCCUGUGAUCCCAGCAGCUUAGGAGGCUGAGGCAGGAGGAUCGUGAGUUCAAAGCCAGCACCAGCAGUUUGUCAAGACCCUAAGCAAACUCAGUGAGAGCCUGUCUUUAAAUAUAAUAUAAAAAGGGGGCUUGGAGGGGCUGGGGUUGUGGCUCAG